AUCAUUAAAAGUUAUAGUGUUGAGGGAAAACUAAAUUAAAUGGACAUGUAAUGAACCCAGCUUGUGUGUUGUCUGUAUAUAUACAUUUUUUAUAAUAUAAGGAACACAAUUGCAAGCCACAAAUGGCGCCCAACGUGGUUAUAUUUUAGAUUUCUCUCAUUUAAGAACUGAACAUUAAUUUAAAAAAAAAUAAAAAAAAAUAAAUGAGUAUUGAUGAUUGUUAAAGAUUGUGGAAAAUCUUUGGUUGUAUGGAGGACGUACAGCUUAUUCGGUAGCCAGUGGUCGGAACAGUUGGCGUGUGCAGUGGAGCAAUCCAGGUGGCAUUCUGAGCGAUUAUUUGUUGGGAGCGACGAGCGAUCUUUAGGAGCGAGUAGAACAUCAGUGCCUAAAAAGUGACUGGAGCGUGUGACAUUGACAUUACCGUGUGAUUGAGAAAAACACAUUUGUAUUUUCACAGCACUGGGCAUCAUCUGCAUUCAAGACUGGGGUCAUAAGCUGUCAUAGGAGGCCAAUCCACAAUUGGGCUUUGACAACUUUGCGACGCCUUUGUGAUUUCUCUGAG